rnacentral:rRNA from 1 species
AUUGAACGCUGGCGGCAGGCUUAACACAUGCAAGUCGAGCGGAGAGAGGUAGCUUGCUACUGAUCUUAGCGGCGGACGGGUGAGUAAUGCUUAGGAAUCUGACUAUUAGUAGGGGACAACAUUUCGAAAGGAAUGCUAAUACCGCAUACGUCCUACGGGAGAAAGCAGGGGAUCUUCGGACCUUGCGCUAAUAGAUGAGCCUAAGUCGGAUUAGCUAGGUGGUGGGGUAAAGGCCUACCAAGGCGACGAUCUGUAGCGGGUCUGAGAGGAUGAUCCGCCACACUGGGACUGAGACACGGCCCAGACUCCUACGGGAGGCAGCAGUGGGGAAUAUUGGACAAUGGGCGGAAGCCUGAUCCGGCCAUGCCGCGUGUGUGAAGAAGGCCUUAUGGUUGUAAAGCACUUUAAGCGAGGAGGAGGCUACUUUAGUUAAUACCUAGGGAUAGUGGACGUUACUCGCAGAAUAAGCACCGGCUAACUCUGUGCCAGCCGCCGCAGUAAUAC